UACGGGGGGGGCAAGCGUUGUUCGGAAUUACUGGGCGUAAAGGGCUCGUAGGCGGCCAACUAAGUCAGACGUGAAAUCCCUCGGCUUAACCGGGGAACUGCGUCUGAUACUGGAUGGCUUGAGUUUGGGAGAGGGAUGCGGAAUUCCAGGUGUAGCGGUGAAAUGCGUAGAUAUCUGGAGGAACGCCGGUGGCGAAAGCGACUGUCUGGGGUGCCUGUGACGCUGAGGCGCGAAAGCCAGGGGAUCAAACGGG
rnacentral:rRNA from 1 species